CUACGGGAGGCAGCAGUGAGGAAUAUUGCGCAAUGGGGGAAACCCUGACGCAGCGACGCCGCGUGGAUGAUGAAGGCCUUAGGGUCGUAAAAUCCUUUCAGGUGGGAAGAAGUGGAUAUAGAUUAAUACUCUAUUUCUUUGACGGUACCACCAAAGGAAGCACCGGCUAACUCCGUGCCAGCAGCCGCGGUAAUACGGAGGGUGCAGACGUUGUUCGGAAUUACUGGGCGUAAAGCGCGCGUAGGCGGUUUGUUAAGUCAGAUGUGAAAGUCCAGGGCUCAACUAUGGAAGUGCAUUUGAAACUGGCAGACUUGAGUACUGGAGGGGGUGAUGGAAUUCCCGGUGUAGAGGUGAAAUUCGUAGAUAUCGGGAGGAAUACCGGUGGCGAAGGCGAUCACCUGGCCAGAUACUGACGCUGAGGUGCGAAAGCGUGGGGAGCAAACAGGAUUAGAUACCCGCGUAGUC
rnacentral:rRNA from 1 species